AGCCGCUGGGCUGCAGCUCCCCAGCCCAACUGCCAGCGUGCUCCGAGGUACUGGAAAGGUCUUGGCAGGGUGGCUGGACCCUUGGCAGACUCAAAUCCAGGCCAACUGUAUGGCUGUCUGAGGUGUUGGAACAGAAGGAGGUCCAUUCCUGUUGGUGACAGCACUGUGGCCCUGUUCUAGGAUGAGCCAGGUAUAAAAGGAGCUGUGAAAUCAGCUGCAACUGAAAAUGUCUGACAGCUUGGAUAACGAAGAAA
rnacentral:lncRNA from 1 species